rnacentral:rRNA from 1 species
UACGUAGGGUGCGAGCGUUGUCCGGAAUUAUUGGGCGUAAAGAGCUCGUAGGCGGUGUGUCGCGUCGGCCGUGAAAACCUGCAGCUUAACUGUGGGCUUGCGGUCGAUACGGGCAUCACUGGAGUUCGGCAGGGGAGACUGGAAUUCCUGGUGUAGCGGUGAAAUGCGCAGAUAUCGUUUGGAACGCCAAUGGUGAAAACAGACAGCUGGGAGUGUGCUGACGCUGAGACACGAAAGCCAGGGGAGCGAACGGG